UACGUAGGUGGCAAGCGUUGUCCGGAUUUACUGGGCGUAAAGAGCGCGCAGGCGGUCGUUCAAGUCGCGUGUGAAAGCCCCCGGCUCAACUGGGGAGGGUCACGCGAUACUGAUCGACUCGAAGGCAGGAGAGGGUAGUGGAAUUCCCGGUGUAGUGGUGAAAUUCGUAGAUAUCGGGAGGAACACCAGUGGCGAAGGCGGCUAUCUGGACGUCCACUGACGCUGAGGCGCGAAAGCGUGGGGAGCAAACAGG
rnacentral:rRNA from 1 species